GACGAACCGAGCGAACGUUGUUCGGAAUCACUGGGCUUAAAGGGCGCGUAGGCGGGCUGUCAAGUCUGGGGGUGAAAUCCCACGGCUCAACCGUGGAACUGCCUUAGAUACUGACGGCCUCGAGGGAGAUAGGGGCGAGCGGAACUGUGAGUGGAGCGGUGAAAUGCGUUGAUAUUCACAGGAACUCCGGUGGCGAAGGCGGCUCGCUGGAUCUUUCUGACGCUGAGGCGCGGAAAGCUAGGGGAGCAAACGGG
rnacentral:rRNA from 1 species